UACGUAGGCAGCGAGCGUUGUUCGGAGUUACUGGGCGUAAAGGGUGCGUAGGCUGCGGAGAAAGUCUGGUGUGAAAUUUGCGAGCUCAACUCGCAACUAGCACCUGAUACUACUUUGCUAGAGAUCUGGAGAGGAGCUUGGAAUUCUCGGUGUAGCAGUGAAAUGCGUAGAUUUCGAGAAGAACGCUCGCUGCGAAAGCGAAGCUCUGGCCAGAUUCUGACGCUGAGGCACGAAGGCUAGGGGAGCAAACGGG
rnacentral:rRNA from 1 species